rnacentral:rRNA from 1 species
UACAGAGGUCCCAAGCGUUGUUCAGAUUCACUGGGCGUAAAGGGUGCGUAGGUGGUCGGGUAAGUCUGAUGUGAAAUCUCCGAGCUUAACUCGGAAAUGGCAUUGGAUACUAUUCGGCUAGAGGGUUUGAGGGGGGACUGGAAUACUUGGUGUAGCAGUGAAAUGCGUAGAUAUCAAGUGGAACACCAGUGGCGAAGGCGAGUCCCUGGAAAACUCCUGACACUGAGGCACGAAAGCUAGGGGAGCAAACAGG